rnacentral:rRNA from 1 species
UCCACACGACUCUCGGCAACGGAUAUCUCGGCUCUCGCAUCGAUGAAGAACGUAGCAAAAUGCGAUACCUGGUGUGAAUUGCAGAAUCCCGCGAACCAUCGAGUUUUUGAACGCAAGUUGCGCCCGAGGCCUUCUGGCUGAGGGCACGCCUGCCUGGGCGUCACG